rnacentral:rRNA from 2 species
GGGUUGUGAGGUUAAGCGACUAAGCGUACACGGUGGAUGCCCUGGCAGUCAGAGGCGAUGAAGGACGUGCUAAUCUGCGAUAAGCGCCGGUAAGGUGAUAUGAACCGUUAUAACCGGCGAUUUCCGAAUGGGGAAACCCAGUGUGAUUCGUCACACUAUCAUUAACUGAAUCCAUAGGUUAAUGAGGCGAACCGGGGGAACUGAAACAUCUAAGUACCCCGAGGAAAAGAAAUCAACCGAGAUUCCCCCAGUAGCGGCGAGCGAACGGGGAGGAGCCCAGAGCCUGAAUCAGCAUGUGUGUUAGUGGAAGCGUCUGGAAAGGUGCGCGAUACAGGGUGACAGCCCCGUACACAAAAGCGCAUGUGCUGUGAGCUCGAUGAGUAGGGCGGGACACGUGGUAUCCUGUCUGAAUAUGGGGGGACCAUCCUCCAAGGCUAAAUACUCCUGACUGACCGAUAGUGAACCAGUACCGUGAGGGAAAGGCGAAAAGAACCCCGGCGAGGGGAGUGAAAAAGAACCUGAAACCGUGUACGUACAAGCAGUGGGAGCACAGGUUUACCUGUGUGACUGCGUACCUUUUGUAUAAUGGGUCAGCGACUUAUAUUCUGUAGCAAGGUUAACCGUAUAGGGGAGCCGGAGGGAAACCGAGUCUUAAUUGGGCGUUAAGUUGCAGGGUAUAGACCCGAAACCCGGUGAUCUAGCCAUGGGCAGGUUGAAGGUUGGGUAACACUAACUGGAGGACCGAACCGACUAAUGUUGAAAAAUUAGCGGAUGACCUGUGGCUGGGGGUGAAAGGCCAAUCAAACCGGGAGAUAGCUGGUUCUCCCCGAAAGCUAUUUAGGUAGCGCCUCGUGAAUUCAUCUCCGGGGGUAGAGCACUGUUUCGGCUAGGGGGCCAUCCCGGCUUACCAACCCGAUGCAAACUGCGAAUACCGGAGAAUGUUAUCACGGGAGACACACGGCGGGUGCUAACGUCCGUCGUGAAGAGGGAAACAACCCAGACCGCCAGCUAAGGUCCCAAAGUCAUGGUUAAGUGGGAAACGAUGUGGGAAGGCCCAGACAGCCAGGAUGUUGGCUUAGAAGCAGCCAUCAUUUAAAGAAAGCGUAAUAGCUCACUGGUCGAGUCGGCCUGCGCGGAAGAUGUAACGGGGCUAAACCAUGCACCGAAGCUGCGGCAGCGAACGUAUCACCCAAGACAACUUUACGGAGUUGACGAUUGACGGAGCGAAGCGACGUCAAAGCGUUCAUUAAAGUCGAGUUGGCUUAGGGAUACGUUCGUUGGGUAGGGGAGCGUUCUGUAAGCCUGUGAAGGUGUGUCGUGAGGCAUGCUGGAGGUAUCAGAAGUGCGAAUGCUGACAUAAGUAACGAUAAAGCGGGUGAAAAGCCCGCUCGCCGGAAGACCAAGGGUUCCUGUCCAACGUUAAUCGGGGCAGGGUGAGUCGACCCCUAAGGCGAGGCCGAAAGGCGUAGUCGAUGGGAAACGGGUUAAUAUUCCCGUACUUGGUGUUACUGCGAAGGGGGGACGGAGAAGGCUAUGUUGGCCGGGCGACGGUUGUCCCGGUUUAAGCGUGUAGGUGUGUGUUCCAGGUAAAUCCGGUUCACUUUAACACUGAGGCGUGACGACGAGGCACUACGGUGCUGAAGCAACAAAUGCCCUGCUUCCAGGAAAAGCCUCUAAGCAUCAGGUAACACGAAAUCGUACCCCAAACCGACACAGGUGGUCAGGUAGAGAAUACCAAGGCGCUUGAGAGAACUCGGGUGAAGGAACUAGGCAAAAUGGUGCCGUAACUUCGGGAGAAGGCACGCUGACACGUAGGUGAAGUGAUUUACUCAUGGAGCUGAAGUCAGUCGAAGAUACCAGCUGGCUGCAACUGUUUAUUAAAAACACAGCACUGUGCAAACACGAAAGUGGACGUAUACGGUGUGACGCCUGCCCGGUGCCGGAAGGUUAAUUGAUGGGGUCAGCGCAAGCGAAGCUCCUGAUCGAAGCCCCGGUAAACGGCGGCCGUAACUAUAACGGUCCUAAGGUAGCGAAAUUCCUUGUCGGGUAAGUUCCGACCUGCACGAAUGGCGUAAUGAUGGCCAGGCUGUCUCCACCCGAGACUCAGUGAAAUUGAACUCGCUGUGAAGAUGCAGUGUACCCGCGGCAAGACGGAAAGACCCCGUGAACCUUUACUAUAGCUUGACACUGAACAUUGAGCCUUGAUGUGUAGGAUAGGUGGGAGGCUUUGAAGUGUGGACGCCAGUCUGCAUGGAGCCGACCUUGAAAUACCACCCUUUAAUGUUUGAUGUUCUAACGUGGACCCGUAAUCCGGGUUGCGGACAGUGUCUGGUGGGUAGUUUGACUGGGGCGGUCUCCUCCUAAAGAGUAACGGAGGAGCACGAAGGUUGGCUAAUCCUGGUCGGACAUCAGGAGGUUAGUGCAAUGGCAUAAGCCAGCUUGACUGCGAGCGUGACGGCGCGAGCAGGUGCGAAAGCAGGUCAUAGUGAUCCGGUGGUUCUGAAUGGAAGGGCCAUCGCUCAACGGAUAAAAGGUACUCCGGGGAUAACAGGCUGAUACCGCCCAAGAGUUCAUAUCGACGGCGGUGUUUGGCACCUCGAUGUCGGCUCAUCACAUCCUGGGGCUGAAGUAGGUCCCAAGGGUAUGGCUGUUCGCCAUUUAAAGUGGUACGCGAGCUGGGUUUAGAACGUCGUGAGACAGUUCGGUCCCUAUCUGCCGUGGGCGCUGGAGAACUGAGGGGGGCUGCUCCUAGUACGAGAGGACCGGAGUGGACGCAUCACUGGUGUUCGGGUUGUCAUGCCAAUGGCACUGCCCGGUAGCUAAAUGCGGAAGAGAUAAGUGCUGAAAGCAUCUAAGCACGAAACUUGCCCCGAGAUGAGUUCUCCCUGAGACUUAGAGUCUCCUGAAGGAACGUUGAAGACGACGACGUUGAUAGGCCGGGUGUGUAAGCGCAGCGAUGCGUUGAGCUAACCGGUACUAAUGAACCGUGAGGCUUAACCUUACAACGCCGAAG